UGGGGAAUAUUGGACAAUGGGCGAAAGCCUGAUCCAGCAAUGCCGCGUGAGUGAUGAAGGCCUUAGGGUUGUAAAGCUCUUUUACCCGGGAUGAUAAUGACAGUACCGGGAGAAUAAGCUCCGGCUAACUCCGUGCCAGCAGCCGCGGUAAUACGGAGGGAGCUAGCGUUGUUCGGAAUCACUGGGCGUAAAGCGUACGUAGGCGGCUAUUCAAGUCAGAGGUGAAAGCCCGGGGCUCAACCCCGGAACUGCCUUUGAAACUAGAUGGCUAGAAUCUUGGAGAGGCGAGUGGAAUUCCGAGUGUAGAGGUGAAAUUCGUAGAUAUUCGGAAGAACACCAGUGGCGAAGGCGACUCGCUGGACAAGUAUUGACGCUGAGGUACGAAAGCGUGGGGAGCAAACAGGAUUAGAUACCCAUGUAGUCCCUGAGCGGGCUGGCAAGGCGCAU
rnacentral:rRNA from 1 species